UAGGAAUGUUCCAGAAGUAAGAGAGAUGACUAGGGUUUCAAGAACAAGGACCAGCACCUAUGAAGGCUCUGAGGCACAGACCACUGUGACCUGUGGAGAAGUGCAAAGUGAAAGGCAUGUUUUGAUUACUACCGACAUUCAAAGUCUGGACACAGGUGACAAAUCUAAAAGAUAUUGCCCAUUCGUCCAACUGCCGCUGUCCUGCCAGUAUAUCGUCUGAGAUUACCAUCAGCUAAAUAUUGCAUUGUCUUUGGACAAUUUUCCUACAUUGUGACUCCUCACUACAUUUUCAAUGCUUUUCUAGUCCCAGACAAGCUACAGACUGUUAAUUUACACUUGCUUUUGCCUUGCCUGAGGAAAUUGAAAAUAAAUUUUAAUUUCCUAGUCAAGGGCUACGGGUGCUUUGUGUGGUUUGGAGGAAAAAAAAAAUACUGUUAGAUGGAAUUAGGGAAUAUUAGGAGAGUUUCUGAAGUUAGUGAAGGUACACAGUAAUUGAUCACUUGCCCUCAUAGUGAGAGGUCAUUCCAAUGAGCAGAGGUUCUGUCAAUAUCUGAGAUCUGUUUGAUACCUGGCCUCAAUCUGUCAAUCACGCCCAGUAACCAUAUUCAUAGGCUUCAGAUCUGAAUUUUGAAUUGCAUCAGAAGCUUUCCUCUGGCCUCAGAGAUGCCAUUGAGACCAUUCUCAUAGUUAGUCACCACUCACACUACACAAAAUGGAAGAAAAAAACUUCCUUUGGGGCAAAUCAACAAUCUCUGGUAGGAAAAUAAACAAGGAUGCUUUCAGAAUACCAGAAGCCCAAGUCUGAGCAUCUGGAGGCAAAGGAAGAGUAGAGAAGUCUUUGUUGGUGGGACCACUGCCUGUAGGAAUUUAAGGGAACUUGGAUCUUAGGAGUUGCUCAGUUAAGUCCUAGAGAGAGCCUAAGUGGGACUAAUGAGAAGCAGAACAAUUGCUAUUUCUGAGAAGAAAAACCAACACUUUUGGAUGUUAACUUUUGGAUGUUUGAAUUUUUUGUUUUAGUUUUUAUUCCUUUUGGGAAAAGCUAUUUUUAUUGCAAAAAAAUAUGUAAAGCUAGCAACAAAAUAGUUGAAAGUAUUUAUUGUGUACCUACUGUGUGAUAGCAGCUGGGUUUCAAACACAAGUGAAUAUGAAAUAAAUGAGCCCUAGAUGCACA
rnacentral:lncRNA from 1 species